AUGGUUUCAACAAUGAAGAAGUCGAUCUUUGAUGAACAAACUAACAAGGCCUUAAGGAAAUUGCAAAAGAAUGCUCAAAAGAAGAGAAGGCAUCAUGAUGUGGUUCGAGCUGAAUGGGCAAAUCAUGUUAUACAGUUCGAAUUUUGGUUCUGUUUAAGGUAAAUGAUCGAGAUAAGAUGGUUUUUUGGUUCUCUUGAUCAUAAUGUAACUGUUGGCUAGGUUUAGAGUUGGAACUAUGGAUUGUAUUUUGGAUGAUGUUGAUGCAAUUAAUGAAACGAAGCCAUCAUUUUCAAUGCUGAUUUUAGUCCAA